rnacentral:rRNA from 1 species
ACGGGUGCGUAACGCGUGGGAAUCUGCCCUUGGGUUCGGAAUAACAGUGAGAAAUUACUGCUAAUACCGGAUGAUGUCUUCGGACCAAAGAUUUAUCGCCCAGGGAUGAGCCCGCGUAGGAUUAGGUAGUUGGUGGGGUAAUGGCCUACCAAGCCGACGAUCCUUAGCUGGUCUGAGAGGAUGAUCAGCCACACUGGGACUGAGACACGGCCCAGACUCCUACGGGAGGCAGCAGUGGGGAAUAUUGGACAAUGGGCGAAAGCCUGAUCCAGCAAUGCCGCGUGAGUGAUGAAGGCCUUAGGGUUGUAAAGCUCUUUUACCAGGGAUGAUAAUGACAGUACCUGGAGAAUAAGCUCCGGCUAACUCCGUGCCAGCAGCCGCGGUAAUACGGAGGGAGCUAGCGUUGUUCGGAAUUACUGGGCGUAAAGCGCGCGUAGGCGGUUACUCAAGUCAGAGGUGAAAGCCCGGGGCUCAACCCCGGAACUGCCUUUGAAACUAGGUGACUAGAAUCUUGGAGAGGUCAGUGGAAUUCCGAGUGUAGAGGUGAAAUUCGUAGA